UGGGAACGUACCUUUUGGUUCGGAACAACCCAGAGAAACUUGGGCUAAUACCGGAUAAGUCCGUAAGGAGAAAGAUUUAUCGCCAAAAGAUCGGCCCGCGUCUGAUUAGCUGGUUGGUGAGGUAACGGCUCACCAAGGCGACGAUCAGUAGCUGGUCUGAGAGGAUGAUCAGCCACAUUGGGACUGAGACACGGCCCAAACUCCUACGGGAGGCAG
rnacentral:rRNA from 1 species